CACGUAGGGUGCGAGCGUUGUCCGGAAUUAUUGGGCGUAAAGCGCUCGUAGGCGGCUUGUCGCGUCGACUGUGAAAUCCCGAGGCUCAACCUCGGGUCUGCAGUCGAUACGGGCAAACUGGAGUGUUGCAGGGGAGACUGGAAUUCCUGGUGUAGCGGUGAAAUGCGCAGAUAUCAGGAGGAACACCGGUGGCGAAGGCGGGUCUCUGGGCAACAACUGACGCUGAGGAGCGAAAGCGUGGGGAGCGAACAGG
rnacentral:rRNA from 1 species